AUCCUGGCUCAGAGUGAACGCUGNCGGUAGGCCUAACACAUGCAAGUCGAACGGCAGCACAGAGGAGCUUGCUCCUUGGGUGGCGAGUGGCGGACGGGUGAGGAAUACAUCGGAAUCUACUCUGUCGUGGGGGAUAACGUAGGGAAACUUACGCUAAUACCGCAUACGACCUACGGGUGAAAGCAGGGGAUCUUCGGACCUUGCGCGAUUGAAUGAGCCGAUGUCGGAUUAGCUAGUUGGCGGGGUAAAGGCCCACCAAGGCGACGAUCCGUAGCUGGUCUGAGAGGAUGAUCAGCCACACUGGAACUGAGACACGGUCCAGACUCCUACGGGAGGCAGCAGUGGGGAAUAUUGGACAAUGGGCGCAAGCCUGAUCCAGCCAUACCGCGUGGGUGAAGAAGGCCUUCGGGUUGUAAAGCCCUUUUGUUGGGAAAGAAAUCCAGCUGGUUAAUACCCGGUUGGGAUGACGGUACCCAAAGAAUAAGCACCGGCUAACUUCGUGCCAGCAGCCGCGGUAAUACGAAGGGUGCAAGCGUUACUCGGAAUUACUGGGCGUAAAGCGUGCGUAGGUGGUCGUUUAAGUCCGUUGUGAAAGCCCUGGGCUCAACCUGGGAACUGCAGUGGAUACUGGGCGACUAGAAUGUGGUAGAGGGUAGCGGAAUUCCUGGUGUAGCAGUGAAAUGCGUAAAGAUCAGGAGGAACAUCCAUGGCGAAGGCAGCUACCUGGACC
rnacentral:rRNA from 1 species